GAGUAUGAUGGGAUAAGCAAGAACUGCUAAUUACUUACUUCUAUGGUUCGACUCCGUAGCAAACUCGACUUGCUCCUACUGAAUUAAAUUUCCGUAAAAGCC
rnacentral:tRNA from 1 species